AUCUUGCGCAAUGGGCGAAAGCCUGACGCAGCGACGCCGCGUGAGCGAUGAAGGCCCUCGGGUUGUAAAGCUCUGUGGAGAGGGAAGAAUAAGGGUACGUUAACACCGUGCCCGAUGACGGUACCUCUUUAGCAAGCACCGGCUAACUCUGUGCCAGCAGCCGCGGUAAGACAGAGGGUGCAAACGUUGUUCGGAAUUACUGGGCGUAAAGCGCGUGUAGGCGGCGGCGCAAGUCGGAUGUGAAAGCCCAUGGCUCAACCAUGGAAGUGCACCCGAAACUGCGUCGCUAGAGUCUCGGAGAGGAAGGUGGAAUGCUUGGUGUAGAGGUGAAAUUCGUAGAUAUCAAGCGGAACACCGGUGGCGAAGGCGGCCUUCUGGACGAGUACUGACGCUGAGACGCGAAAGCGUGGGUAGCAAACA
rnacentral:rRNA from 1 species